AUAUUGAAAAGUUAUGCAGGUGCGUUCCGUCUCACAGGAUUUCAAUAGAUGGUAUUCGUGAGUGGAUGAAGGACGAAUCGACUUUUUUGGUCGUGAAGUUGAGACUGAAGAAGAAGAUUGGAAAUGCAAGUACGUUAUAUACCUGGUCUUGUACGCUGAUCUUUACCAUCGAUCGAA